CAAAGUGGGUCAAAUUAAAUUAAAGUAGUUAAAGAUUCUUCUCUUCUGAUGGGGGAACAGUUGGGAAAACUAAAAUCCAGGAAGGUACAUGAUGAGAUACGAGAGGUGCAGGGAGAAGCACUCUCGUUCCUAUCACAUAUCCAUCAAUGCAUAAUUCAAUCCCAGAAAUGCAUCAUCAACAACACAAACAUCAACCACACUUUAACUAUUACUCAAUCUGUCAUAUCUAAGUUUAAAGAAAUGAGAACCAACCUUGACGCCUAAGCCAACUUGAUGUGAACCAUGAGAAGACGCCACCACCACCACACCACCACCAAACGAGGUUGAGGAGAGUUCUAUGAGAAUGAAAUACACACUCUGAAAUUGUGAGAACUCAAAUGAGGGGGAGUGGAGGAGGGGAGGCAACACUCGGAGAGAGGAGAAAGGGGGUGUAGAGUUUUGGAAUAUGAAAUGGGGUAAGAGAAAAUGGGUUUUUGUAGAAUGGAUCAAAUUAAAAGAAAACAGUUAAAGAUUCUUCUCUUCUGACAGAGGUACAAUUGGGAAAAUUAUAAAACAAUUAUGUGCAGGAUGAGAUAUGUGAGAUGAAGGGAGAAACACUCUCGUCUCAAUCACAGAUGCCGCAAUACACAAUCAAAUCCCAAAAAUGUAUCAUCAACAGAACCGAACAAUAACACAAUCAUCAACCACACUUCAACUAUCAUAAAAUUUAUCAGAUCUGGCUUAAAGAAAUUGGAACCACCCUGAACGCCCAAGCAAACUUGAUGUGAACUGUGAGAAGACAUUGUUAACAAAUUGGCAAGCGUACCAAAUCGUACAAGUAAUAUAAAUGGUAAGACCAAGUAUCGUUUUCCUAAGAGACUCGAAAGGCUUUCUCGUUCACGUGAAUUAAAAUAAUAAGACUUGAAAAUAAAAAUUAAUAAAUUGGAUUUGAGAACAAAAAUAUUAACAUGCAAAAUAAAGUUGAUUCAAUUGACAAAAGAGAACAAUGGAUAAAUGGAUGUUGUUGGGGGUUUACAAUUUCAUCUAAUCCGCUCUCUCUUACAUACUACCCUUGAAAAUUAGUUUGAUUGAUUCAAUUGUUAUGCGACUUUCUUAGCCUCCCCUUAACCCGAUCCCUCGGCGAAAAGGGCCUAAUAUUAACUACUGGCUUGCUAUCCCUAGCCUCCCCUAGUAAUUAAUACCGCAUUAUAAACAAAAGUUAGCGCAAUUGAUCGUCCUACCCG
rnacentral:lncRNA from 1 species